rnacentral:rRNA from 1 species
UCGAGGAUCUUCGGCAAUGGGCGCAAGCCUGACCGAGCGACGCCGCGUGCGCGAUGAAGGCCUUCGGGUUGUAAAGCGCUGUCGAGGGGGAGGAAAGCCCGCAAGGGUCUGACCUAUCCCUGGAGGAAGCACGGGCUAAGUUCGUGCCAGCAGCCGCGGUAAGACGAACCGUGCAAACGUUGUUCGGAAUCACUGGGCUUAAAGGGCGCGUAGGCGGGCGGCCAAGUCAGGGGUGAAAUCUUUCGGCUCAACCGGAAAAUUGCCUUUGAAACUGGCUGUCUCGAGGGAGGUAGGGGCAUGUGGAACUUCCGGUGGAGCGGUGAAAUGCGUUGAUAUCGGAAGGAACGCCGGUGGCGAAAGCGACGUGCUGGACCUCUUCUGACGCUGAGGCGCGAAAGCUAGGGGAGCGAACGGGAUUAGAUACCCCCGUAGUCC